CGCUCGACGCCUCGACCAGGGCCGCACCGCGUUCACGUCUAGCCUAGCGCACGCACCGGUCGGCCUGCUUCUUACCGCACGCACCGCUCUCGCUCGCGCCUAGGGUUAGGGAUUCAAUUACGGCGGCGGCGGCGGCGGCGACGGCGGCAGCGGGUGCUGAAGGGAAACGACGGCAGCUGCAGGUGCUGAAUGACAUCGACGGCAACUGGGGGUGCUCAAUGGCGGCGACGGAGACAACGGGUGCCUAAGGGCCGCGACGGUGGCGACGGUGCUGAAGGGCCGCAACGGUGGCGGAGGGUGUUGAAGGGCGGCGACGACAACGGCUUGCGGCUGCCGUGCCUCGAGCGUGUAGUCCCAUGCUGGCGCGUUAUCCUGCUCCGGCCGUCACUGUCAGCAAGUUCAGGGUGCAGUUAACUCCUCUAGUGAUUCUGUGAUGGUUGGUUUGAUGUAUCACAUAGAAGCCAGUGCCGUAAAGAAUGAUGAGCUGCAAGCAGAGCAGGAGGUGCGCACUCUGAAGUUGCUCAGCUUGGUGCAUAAGGAAAAUGAGCUUGCCAUUUUAGUUGCCGUGCUUCUGUUUGCAACUGUUGCUGCUGAUGCGACGUACUUCGACAACAAGUGCAUGACUGAAUGUAGCUACAUCCACUUUAUGCGCCUUUCGAGUCUGUUGGUGAUGGCGGAGCCUGGAGUGUGGUUACAUGUAAAGUAGGGAACCAGUGAUGUUUGUAUUGACCUAGUGAUGCUAGUAUGUAAAAAAAUUGAACAAAUAUCAAUGUGAUGAAAGAAAUUCAAACUAGUACUGUUGCUUAUGUA